GGAGGAAAAGAAACCAACAGGGAUUGCCCCAGUAACGGCGAGUGAAGCGGCAACAGCUCAAAUUUGAAAUCUGGCUUCGGCCCGAGUUGUAAUUUGCAGAGGAAGUAUUUGGCGCGGUGCCUUCCGAGUUCCCUGGAACGGGACGCCAUAGAGGGUGAGAGCCCCGUCUGGUUGGACACCAAGCCUGUGUAAUACUCCUUCGACGAGUCGAGUAGUUUGGGAAUGCUGCUCUAAAUGGGAGGUAAAUCUCUUCUAAAGCUAAAUACCGGCCAGAGACCGAUAGCGCACAAGUAGAGUGAUCGAAAGAUGAAAAGCACCUUGAAAAGGGGGUUAAACAGUACGUGAAAUUGUUGAAAGGGAAGCGUUUAUGACCAGACUUGUGCCGUGUGGCUCAUCCGGGGUUCUCCCCGGUGCACUCCACACGGUUCAGGCCAACAUCGGUUCUCGUUGGGGGAUAAGAACAGUAGGAACGUGGCCCUCUUCGGAGGGUGUUAUAGCCUAUUGUACGAUACCUUGAUGGGGACCGAGGACCGCGCUUCGGCUAGGAUGUUGGCGUAAUGGUCAUUAGCGACCCGUCUUGAAACACGGACCAAGGAGUCGUCCAUUAGAGCGAGCGUUUGGGUGUAAAACCCGCACGCGUAAUGAAAGUGAAAUUAGGUGAGAGCUUCGGCGCAUCAUCGACCGAUCCUGAAGUUUACGGAUGGAUUUGAGUAAGAGUUUUAACGGACGGACCCGAAAGACAGUGAACUAUACUUGAAUAGGGUGAAGCCAGAGGAAACUCUGGUGGAGGCUCGCAGCGGUUCUGACGUGCAAAUCGAUCGUCAAAUUUGAGUAUGGGGGCGAAAGACUAAUCGAAC
rnacentral:rRNA from 1 species